AACGAACGUUAGCGGCGCGCCUAACACAUGCAAGUCGAGCGAGAAGGGAGCAAUCCCUGUAAAGCGGCGCACGGGUGAGUAACACGUAGGUAAUCUACCUCGAGGUGGCGGAUAACCUUCCGAAAGGAGGGCUAAUACGGCAUAAGACCACGGCUUCGAAAGGGGCUGAGGUCAAAGCGGGCCUCUAUACAUAAGCUCGCGCCACGAGACGAGCCUGCGGCCCAUCAUGGUAGUUGGUAGGGUAACGGCCUACCAAGCCGAAGACGGGUAGCUGGUCUGAGAGGAUGAUCAGCCACACUGGAACUGAGACACGGUCCAGACUCCUACGGGUGGCAG
rnacentral:rRNA from 1 species